UACAGAGGUCCCAAGCGUUGUUCGGAUUCAUUGGGCGUAAAGGGUGCGUAGGUGGCAGGGUAAGUCGGAUGUGAAAUCCCGGGGCUCAACCCCGGAACUGCAUUCAAUACUGCCCUGCUAGAGUACUGGAGAGGAGAGUGGAAUUCAUGGUGUAGCGGUGAAAUGCGUAGAUAUCAUGAGGAAGACCAGUGGCGAAGGCGGAUCUCUGGACAGUUACUGACACUGAGGCACGAAGGCCGGGGGAGCAAACGGG
rnacentral:rRNA from 1 species